rnacentral:rRNA from 1 species
UACGUAGGGUGCAAGCGUUGUCCGGAAUUAUUGGGCGUAAAGAGCUCGUAGGCGGUUCGUCGCGUCGGCUGUGAAAUCCCGGAGCUCAACUCCGGGUCUGCAGUCGAUACGGGCGGACUCGAGUUCGGCAGGGGAGACUGGAAUUCCUGGUGUAGCGGUGAAAUGCGCAGAUAUCAGGAGGAACACCGGUGGCGAAGGCGGUUCUCUGGGCCUGUACUGACGCUGAGGAGCGAAAGCGUGGGGAGCGAACAGG